rnacentral:rRNA from 1 species
CAGUCGCCACGGGAAAACGAAGGGGGCUAGCGUUGCUCGGAAUGACUGGGCGUAAAGGGCGCGUAGGCGGCGGCCAAAGUCAGGCGUGAAAUUCCCGGGCUCAACCUGGGGGCUGCGUUUGAUACUUGGUUGCUUGAGUGGGGAAGAGGGUCGUGGAAUUCCCAGUGUAGAGGUGAAAUUCGUAGAUAUUGGGAAGAACACCGGUGGCGAAGGCGGCGACCUGGUCCUUUACUGACGCUGAGGCGCGAAAGCGUGGGGAGCAAACAGGAUUAGAUACCCGCGUAGUCCCUGUCUCUUAUAC